rnacentral:tRNA from 2 species
CGGCGCGGGCUGCGCUGAUUUAGAGGCGGUGUCAUGGGGUGUCGGGGGUCGGAGGUUCAAAUCCUCUCGUGCCGACCA